AAAAGAAAGGGGCCUUAGUUGUUUUUUCAUUUUCCCGCUCUUCAUCUCCUUCCCUCACAUUCUCUGCUCUGCGGCGCCGCGAAACGAAGAAACUCACCUGCACACACGCUCACCCAUCUCUUCCGCGCCUCCCUCCUCUGCCUUGCCACCCUUGCGCUCUACUCUUCCUCCUCCCCUAACCGUCGGUUUUUAGUGGUGGUGGUGGUGCAACUUCUCAACUACUUCCUCUCAUCGGCGCUGCUAUUGUCUCGUUGGUGGUGUUCUCGCCUGCUCCAUCUUUCUCUCGUCACUACCAUGUAUCUCCACCGCCAACGGUGGCGAAGGGUGGUGGCUGAGGGUUUGUCAUCCUUGCUACCCUAUCGAUCGGUACUUUAAUUGAUCAAGGCGAGUCUCCCGAUUUUUAUUCUCAAGGAUACCCAAAAGAUCAUCCUGCAUUUGGAUAUUUCACUUGGAAGUGGGUUCUCUCGGGUUUGACUACGUGUUCUCAUUGCUAAUUUUCAUGGGAAUGUUGGGACUCUUGGUACAUACACUACACAGAUUCCCUUGGUUAAGAUGGAAUUUUUUAAAGUCACCAGAGGCUGUUUACAAGCAGGAAUUUUCAGAAUAACUGCCCAGAGCUUCAGUUCAAGAUUUGGGUGUUAUUCUUAUGGGGGCUGGAUAUGAGAUGAUGGUUGAGACUAAUGGCUUCGGACAUCCCCCGGCAGAACCUUCAGUUACAUCUGAUAGUACUCUGUUGUAACCAAAUAGGCAAAUAGCCUCAUUUGAUGCUGAAUGUAAUGGAUCAGAAGAGGGUACUUCUUUAAGAAAGAGUUCAUUCUUGGAUAUGGACCAGGAGACUCUUUCCUGUUCUUCUGCCUACAGAGUUGGUGAUUGUGAUGGAAAUAUCGAACCUCAAGUUAAUUCUUCUGUGCAACCUUACAUCCUGAAGAAAUUGGAUGAAGAGCAAAGUUCGCUUAGCCGAAGAACCCCUGAUUUUAAUGGUAGUAUUUAUCUUAUAAUGCCUGAGCUCAAUUUCUGAAUCGAGGAUAAAUGUAACUUUAUUUAUUGUAUAGAUCGGGAGCUGCCCUUGGCUAUGGAGCAGACCUUAAGUGCGAAAAAGAAAUUUCCAGCUUGUAUUAACGAGGGUUAUGGAGGUGAAGGAGUGAAGUUAGAGGACUUGCGUAAGGCUGAUGAUGAGGUGGUUGUUUCUGACUUCUCUCCAGAGAAUGAUGUGCAAUGAGAGAUUAUCUUUUUUCAGCAGCAAUUGUCACUCAAUGUGUUGCUCUAAAGCAUCAAGCGGUAUUCAACAAUCCGAGGGAGCAACCUUUUACCAUUGAGUAGAUAAAUUAAGUUAGGGAAAAGUUGGCAAACUUCAUUACCAUUUAUUGUCUUUGAUAUUUUCUUGUAGUGAAUCUUAGAUUAUGGAUGCUAGUUUUUCAUAGGAUUGUUAUGUAAUCAAUUUUUAUAUUUACAAUUAUAUACUAUUCAGUUUAAUUAUCUAUAUAAGUGGAUACUUUUUUUA